rnacentral:rRNA from 1 species
UACGUAGGGGGCAAGCGUUAUCCGGAAUUAUUGGGCGUAAAGAGUGCGUAGGUGGUCUUACAAGCCUUGGGUGAAAGGCUACAGCUUAACUGUAGUAAGCCUUGGGAACUGUAAGACUUGAGUGCAGGAGAGGAGAGCGGAAUUCCUAGUGUAGCGGUGAAAUGCGUAGAUAUUAGGAGGAACACCAGUGGCGAAGGCGGCUCUCUGGACUGUAACUGACGCUGAGGCACGAAAGCGUGGGGAGCGAACAGG